GAUGAACGCUGGCGGCGUGCCUAAUACAUGCAAGUCGAGCGGUAAGGCUCCUUCGGGAGUACACGAGCGGCGGACGGGUGAGUAAUACGUAGGAACGUACCCCAAAGUGAGGAAUAACCAGCCGAAAGGUUGGCUAAUACCGCAUAUGCUCUACGGAGUAAAGCAGCAAUGCGCUUUGGGAACGGCCUGCGUCCGAUUAGCUAGUUGGUAAGGUAAAGGCUUACCAAGGCGACGAUCGGUAGCUGUUCUGAGAGGAUGAUCAGCCACACUGGAACUGAGACACGGUCCAGACACCUACGGGAGGCAGCAGUAGGGAAUUUUCCACAAUGGGCGAAAGCCUGAUGGAGCAACGCCGCGUGCAGGAUGAAGGCCUUAGGGUUGUAAACUGCUUUUAUCUGUGACGAUUAUGACAGUAGCAGAUGAAUAAGGAUCGGCUAACUCCGUGCCAGCCGCCGCCGUAA
rnacentral:rRNA from 1 species